UGGGGAAUAUUGGACAAUGGGCGAAAGCCUGAUCCAGCAAUGCCGCGUGAGUGAUGAAGGCCUUAGGGUUGUAAAGCUCUUUUACCCGGGAUAAUAAUGACAGUACCGGGAGAAUAAGCCCCGGCUAACUCCGUGCCAGCAGCCGCGGUAAUACGAAGGGGGCUAGCGUUGUUCGGAAUUACUGGGCGUAAAGCGCGCGCAGGCGGUCUUCCAAGUCAGUGGUGAAAGCCCGGAGCUCAACUCCGGAACUGCCAUUGAAACUGUUGGACUUGAGUACGAGAGAGGUGAGUGGAAUUCCCAGUGUAGAGGUGAAAUUCGUAGAUAUUGGGAAGAACACCGGUGGCGAAGGCGGCUCACUGGCUCGUAACUGACGCUCAGGCGCGACAGCGUGGGGAUCAAA
rnacentral:rRNA from 1 species